CCUACGGGAUGCAGCAGUGGGGAAUAUUGGACAAUGGGCGAAAGCCUGAUCCAGCCAUGCCGCGUGUGUGAAGAAGGCCUUCGGGUUGUAAAGCACUUUCAGUGGGGAAGAAAGCCUUGGGGCUAAUACCCUCGAGGAAGGACAUCACCCACAGAAGAAGCACCGGCUAACUCCGUGCCAGCAGCCGCGGUAAUACGGAGGGUGCGAGCGUUAAUCGGAAUUACUGGGCGUAAAGCGCGCGUAGGCGGUCUGAUAAGCCGGUUGUGAAAGCCCCGGGCUCAACCUGGGAACGGCAUCCAGAACUGUCAGGCUAGAGUGCAGGAGAGGAAGGUAGAAUUCCCGGUGUAGCGGUGAAAUGCGUAGAGAUCGGGAGGAAUACCAGUGGCGAAGGCGGCCUUCUGGACUGACACUGACGCUGAGGUGCGAAAGCGUGGGUAGCAAACAGGAUUAGAUACCCCAGUAGUC
rnacentral:rRNA from 1 species